rnacentral:rRNA from 1 species
UAUGUGAUCGUCUCUCGCAUAUCAAUAAGCGGAGGAAAAGAAACUAACAAGGAUUCCCCUAGUAACGGCGAGUGAAGCGGGAAGAGCUCAAAUUUGAAAUCUUAAAGGGUUUCCCUUUACGAAUUGUAGUUUAAAGAAGUGUUUUCUGUUGAGGUUUUGGUAAAAGUUCUUUGGAAUAGGACAUCAUAGAGGGUGAGAAUCCCGUAUUUGACCUUUACUUUCAACUUUGUGAUACACUUUCAAAGAGUCGGAUUGUUUGGGAAUGCAGUCCAAAAUGGGUGGUAAAUUUCAUCUAAAGCUAAAUAUUGGCGAGAGACCGAUAGCGAACAAGUACCGUGAGGGAAAGAUGAAAAGAACUUAGAAAAGAGAGUUAAACAGUACGUGAAAUUGUCAAAAGGGAAGCGUUUGACACCAGUGUUGUUUUUCUGAAAAUCAAUUGAAGAACUGUUUAUGCUAAGUUGUUUAGACUUUAUCAGCUAACUGUUUAGUUUUGAGCUUUUCUUUAAUGCACUUUUCAGUUAACAAGUCAACAUCAAUUUCUUUUGCUGUAAAGAAGCUUGAGGAAGGUGGCUUGAGAUUCGUCUUAAGUGUUUAUAGCCUCUUGCCUAUGCAGUCGGAGAGAUUGAGGUCUGCAACGUAGAUCCUUCGGGGCUAAAUGCAUUUGUGCUAAGUUAUAGCAUUUUAUAGACAACUUGUUGACUAUGAUUUGUCUUGUAGCUUACUCGCUUAUGUUAUUUUACCUACGCUUAGGAUGUUGAUCUACAGAGCGAGAGU